GACGAACCGAGCGAACGUUAUUCGGAAUCACUGGGCUUAAAGGGCGCGUAGGCGGGCGGUCAAGUCCGGGGUGAAAGCCCCCAGCUCAACUGGGGAAGUGCCUCGGAUACUGGUCGCCUCGAGGGAGAUGGGGGCGUGCGGAACUUCCGGUGGAGCGGUGAAAUGCGUAGAUAUCGGAAGGAACACCGGUGGCGAAAGCGGCGCGCUGGAUCUCUUCUGACGCUGAGGCGCGAAAGCCAGGGGAGCGAACGGG
rnacentral:rRNA from 1 species